rnacentral:rRNA from 1 species
GACGAACGCUGGCGGCGUGCUUAACACAUGCAAGUCGAACGAUGAGCCCGGAGCUUGCUCCGGUGGAUUAGUGGCGAACGGGUGAGUAACACGUGAGUAACCUGCCCUUGACUCUGGGAUAACUGCGGGAAACUGUAGCUAAUACCGGAUACGACCCUCGGCGGCAUCGCCAGAGGGAGGAAAGAAUUUCGGUCAAGGAUGGACUCGCGGCCUAUCAGCUAGUUGGUGAGGUAACGGCUCACCAAGGCGACGACGGGUAGCCGGCCUGAGAGGGUGACCGGCCACACUGGGACUGAGACACGGCCCAGACUCCUACGGGAGGCAGCAGUGGGGAAUAUUGCACAAUGGGCGCAAGCCUGAUGCAGCAACGCCGCGUGAGGGAUGACGGCCUUCGGGUUGUAAACCUCUUUUAGUAGGGAAGAAGCGAAAGUGACGGUACCUGCAGAAAAAGCACCGGCUAACUACGUGCCAGCCGCCGCCGUAA